CACGUAGGGCGCAAGCGUUGUCCGGAAUUAUUGGGCGUAAAGAGCUCGUAGGCGGUCUGUUGCGUCCGCUGUGAAAACUCGGGGCUUAACCCCGAGCCUGCAGUGGAUACGGGCAGACUAGAGGUAGGUAGGGGAGAAUGGAAUUCCCGGUGUAGCGGUGAAAUGCGCAGAUAUCGGGAGGAACACCAAUGGCGAAGGCAGCUUGCUGGGACGUUACUGACGCUGAGACGCGAAAGCGUGGGGAGCAAACAGG
rnacentral:rRNA from 1 species